rnacentral:lncRNA from 12 species
GUAAAACUGAAGGUAAUUAUUAUUAACCUAAAUCGAAUGAGAAACUUCUUUACUUUUUAUCAGGGCCUGUGGUGACAGGGCAGGGGGAAUGAGUUUGAACUGCAGAGAGGUCAGUUUGGAUUAGAUAUAAGGAAGAAGUUUCCUACAGUGAGGUGGCACAGGGUGCCCAGAGCAGCUGUGGCUGCCCCUGGAUCCCUGGAAAUGUCCAAGGCCAGGCUGGAUGGGGUUUGGAGCAGCCUGGGGCAGUGGGAGGUGUCCUUGCUAUGGCAGUGAGGAUGAGAUGACAUUUGAAGUUCAUUUCUAGCCCAGACCUUCCAGUGAUUCUAUGGUUCUAUGGAUCUACUGCAAGGUCACAAUAAGCUCAACCCAGAACCUUCUCCAGGCUGGAGAACAAUUGAGAACAGUCCCAAUUCUCUUAACCCCAGCUCUCUCUGUCCCCCAGACUGGAGGCUGUUUGUAAAAGAGAUUGUGUUUACCCCAAAGAGGGGGCAAAGUGUGAGCUGGAGAGGGGUGACGUCUCCCUGCCCUCCACCCUGGCAGGCAGUUGUGAAUCUCCAACCUGCAGGGCACUUUCCUCUCCUGGCAGCGCCGUGUCAGGGAGCUGUGAGGGCAGCAGCUCCUGGCCCCACACCAUAA